rnacentral:lncRNA from 1 species
GUGCGUCCUGGCAUUUUCGAUUUGCGAUUCCGUGAGCACACGGGGCGUGUGAGAGGGGCGGGCCAGACUGGUUCAAUGGGGCGCUCUGGGAGGGUGUUGGCUGCAGAUGUUAACGGAGACAGACAGUCGUGUUCUUAGUGGGCGGGCUGCCAGCCCCGGAAAGCAGGCGGAGUUGGUGGUUGUGAAAGGUGUUGUUUGUGCUUGGCAGGGAGUGGGCGCUUAGCAAAUAUUUGAUGAAGGAGUGGAUUUGUCUUCGCCUUAGCACACGGUUAAGUACACUGUAACUUCACCGCAAAUCCGGUUAGGUAAUUUCCUUUUCCCACGGAAUGUAUUGUGUGCUGCUUCAGAGCUGGAGCUGAGGACUUGUUGAUUACCUCCCAUUUACCAAAUUACAGCAAAUUAGAUUGAACUGUGACUGGCAUGUGAACGAUCUGAUGUUGGACAUGGAUGAGGAAUAUUGCUCUAUAAACCACAGAAGAAGGUAGUACUUACUGAGCCUCAACCCUCCUCAGUAACCUGGGUAGCCUGAGUCAGAGGAAUCCAGCAUCCAUACUCCUAAACUAUCCUGUUGGACCCUGUUUACUGAUGGAAGUCCUUCCCAGUUGUGAGUGUCUUCUGACUAGUGCAGUUCCAGGACCAGCUGCACAUGGGCAUUCACGAUGGUCUGCUGUUGCAUCUCUGCUGUCCUACCCUACCUUGACCAAGACUUCUCCCUGUGGCUGGGCUGCCCUCACUCCCUGUCAGCUAGCUCACACCUCACUGGAUUUACUUCCUUAUUCUGUUGCACUUGUUUUCAUCGAGUUGAGAAACAUAGGACUCCCAAGAAAAUCCUUGAGCUCUAAGCAUUUAUUCUAGAGUUCUUUCCCAGUGGUGGAAUGAAAGUGGACAUUAAAGUUUUCUGUAACAGAAGAGAAAGGAAAGGAUGGUCCAUAUGCUAGCAUCCCCCUAAGAGUUCCAGCGUAAAUGAUCAAGCAAGGUGUCAUCACUAACCCCGCUCCUUGAGAACCAGUGAGCAUAUUCCCAAUCACUCCGUAUAAAGUCAUACUUCAUUAUCUAGCAUUUAUUUCAUUAGGACUUAGUGACAUUAUAAAAAUAAAAUGAGGAGGGCUGGCCCCGUGGCCCAGUGGUUAAGUUUGCGCGCUCUGCUGCAGGCAGCCCAGUGUUU